rnacentral:lncRNA from 1 species
AUGAAGAGAACAGUGGCUUUUAUUGCUCUACUGAUGCUGCUGCUGCAGAUCAGCCUGCAACAAACUGAAGCUGCUGCUGAUUCUCUGAAGCCAUCCAACCCCUCUGAUGAUCUGAAGCAUCUGAAAGACAUUGUGUAUCAGCAGGGUACCAUGCUGGUGGAGCUAAAGACUGAGAUGAAAUACGUGGAAAAGGAGAACUCAGUGCUGAAGACCAAAAUGGCCAAGCAGAUCAAGCAGGGCAAACAGAUUCAGGGUAACAUGGAAGAAAUAAAGAAAAAUGUUUCAGGUAAUGAAAUUAGUAGUUUGGAUACAUAGUGUAAGAUAUACAAUUACUUUUACAAAUAAGGUGUUUUUGUUUUUUCGGCACAAGCAGAAGGGAAGUUCGUACUAACGAGUGAAGUGGAGAAGCUGAAGAAACAGAAUGAAGGUAAAUUAAUGUGAAAGUUUUUUAUUCUGUGUUCUCUAAUGAUUCAUUGCUAAUAAUACUCCUGGUGUCUGAUGACUUUUCCACAAACAGAAAUAAGAACUGCAUUAGCGGCCAGUCAGACUGAAGUGAAAACCCUGAAGAAAGAGAACACAGGUAAAACACUACAGUAUCAAAUCAAAACCAUUAAAAAAACGCAACAUAUAGAAUGUUGCUAAAUUAAACUGAGGCUGAAAGCAAAGACUCUUAAAUUUACUGUUUUUAAAGUUAAGGAAUCUUACAAAAAAUCUUUUUAAUUUGGCUUGUUGCCUCCCAACCUUAAGUUUGUUCUUAUAGCUGCAGUGAAUCUAAAAAUGACUUAUUUGUAUUUUUUUCUUGCCAAAAUUUCGUAAUCAUGCAUGAGUUUUGAUUGUGCCAAAUUGUGCAGAAUGUUUGAAUAGGAACCCAGCUAAUAAGUAGUGUCCUCUAUCUAUAUAUCUACACUGUAAUAAAAUGUCCUGCACAAUUACA